rnacentral:rRNA from 1 species
UACGUAGGGGGCGAGCGUUGUCCGGAUUUAUUGGGCGUAAAGAGCUCGUAGGCGGUUUGGCAAGUCGGGUGUGAAAACUCCGGGCUCAACUCGGAGACGCCACUCGAUACUGCUAUGACUCGAGUCCGGUAGGGGAGUGCGGAAUUCCUGGUGUAGCGGUGAAAUGCGCAGAUAUCAGGAGGAACACCGAUGGCGAAGGCAGGUCACUGGGCCGCAACUGACGCUGAGGAGCGAAAGCAUGGGGAGCGAACAGG